ACGAACGCUGGCGGCGUGCCUAAUACAUGCAAGUCGAGCGGACCAAACAGGAGCUUGCUCUUGUUUGGUUAGCGGCGGACGGGUGAGUAACACGUGGGUAACCUGCCCGUAAGACCGGGAUAACUCCGGGAAACCGGAGCUAAUACCGGAUAACACCGAAGACCGCAUGGUCUUUGGUUGAAAGGCGGCUUCGGCUGCCACUUACGGAUGGGCCCGCGGCGCAUUAGCUAGUUGGUGAGGUAACGGCUCACCAAGGCGACGAUGCGUAGCCGGCCUGAGAGGGUGACCGGCCACACUGGGACUGAGACACGGCCCAGACUCCUACGGGAGGCAGCAGUAGGGAAUCUUCCGCAAUGGACGAAAGUCUGACGGAGCGACGCCGCGUGAGCGAAGAAGGUCUUCGGAUCGUAAAGCUCUGUUGUUAGGGAAGAAGAAGCGCCGUUCGAACAGGGCGGCGCGGUGACGGUACCUAACGAGAAAGCCCCGGCUAACUACGUG
rnacentral:rRNA from 1 species